GCGGGACACGUGGUAUCCUGUCUGAAUAUGGGGGGACCAUCCUCCAAGGCUAAAUACUCCUGACUGACCGAUAGUGAACCAGUACCGUGAGGGAAAGGCGAAAAGAACCCCGGCGAGGGGAGUGAAAAAGAACCUGAAACCGUGUACGUACAAGCAGUGGGAGCCUCUUAAUGGGGUGACUGCGUACCUUUUGUAUAAUGGGUCAGCGACUUAUAUUCUGUAGCAAGGUUAACCGAAUAGGGGAGCCGAAGGGAAACCGAGUCUUAACUGGGCGCUAAGUUGCAGGGUAUAGACCCGAAACCCGGUGAUCUAGCCAUGGGCAGGUUGAAGGUUGGGUAACACUAACUGGAGGACCGAACCGACUAAUGUUGAAAAAUUAGCGGAUGACUUGUGGCUGGGGGUGAAAGGCCAAUCAAACCGGGAGAUAGCUGGUUCUCCCCGAAAGCUAUUUAGGUAGCGCCUCGUGAAUUCAUCUCCGGGGGUAGAGCACUGUUUCGGCAAGGGGGUCAUCCCGACUUACCAACCCGAUGCAAACUGCGAAUACCGGAGAAUGUUAUCACGGGAGACACACGGCGGGUGCUAACGUCCGUCGUGAAGAGGGAAACAACCCAGACCGCCAGCUAAGGUCCCAAAGUCAUGGUUAAGUGGGAAACGAUGUGGGAAGGCCCAGACAGCCAGGAUGUUGGCUUAGAAGCAGCCAUCAUUUAAAGAAAGCGUAAUAGCUCACUGGUCGAGUCGGCCUGCGCGGAAGAUGUAACGGGGCUAAACCAUGCACCGAAGCUGCGGCAGCGACACUAUGUGUUGUUGGGUAGGGGAGCGUUCUGUAAGCCUGUGAAGGUGGCCUGUGAGGGUUGCUGGAGGUAUCAGAAGUGCGAAUGCUGACAUAAGUAACGAUAAAGCGGGUGAAAAGCCCGCUCGCCGGAAGACCAAGGGUUCCUGUCCAACGUUAAUCGGGGCAGGGUGAGUCGACCCCUAAGGCGAGGCCGAAAGGCGUAGUCGAUGGGAAACAGGUUAAUAUUCCUGUACUUGGUGUUACUGCGAAGGGGGGACGGAGAAGGCUAUGUUGGCCGGGCGACGGUUGUCCCGGUUUAAGCGUGUAGGCUGGUUUUCCAGGCAAAUCCGGAAAACCAAGGCUGAGGCGUGAUGACGAGGCACUACGGUGCUGAAGCGACAAAUGCCCUGCUUCCAGGAAAAGCCUCUAAGCAUCAGGUAACAUCAAAUCGUACCCCAAACCGACACAGGUGGUCAGGUAGAGAAUACCAAGGCGCUUGAGAGAACUCGGGUGAAGGAACUAGGCAAAAUGGUGCCGUAACUUCGGGAGAAGGCACGCUGAUAUGUAGGUGAAGCGACUUGCUCGUGGAGCUGAAAUCAGUCGAAGAUACCAGCUGGCUGCAACUGUUUAUUAAAAACACAGCACUGUGCAAACACGAAAGUGGACGUAUACGGUGUGACGCCUGCCCGGUGCCGGAAGGUUAAUUGAUGGGGUUAGCGGUAACGCGAAGCUCUUGAUCGAAGCCCCGGUAAACGGCGGCCGUAACUAUAACGGUCCUAAGGUAGCGAAAUUCCUUGUCGGGUAAGUUCCGACCUGCACGAAUGGCGUAAUGAU
rnacentral:rRNA from 1 species